AACGAACGCUGGCGGCAGGCCUAACACAUGCAAGUCGAGCGAGGACUUCGGUCCUAGCGGCGGACGGGGGAGUAACGCGGGGUAAUGUGCCCUUCUCUACGGUAUCGCUCUCGGAGAGUGGGCGUAAUACCGCAUAGGCUCUAUCGGGGUAGGAGUUCUCGGAGCAGGAUCAGCGCGCGUUGGAUUAGGUGGUUGGUGGUGUAAUGGCCUACCAAGCAGACGUUGCAUAGCUGGUUUGAGACGAUGCUACGCCACACUGGGACUGCGACACGGCCUAGACUGCUACGGGAGGCAGCAGUGGGGAAUACUAGAGAAUGGGGGCAAACCUGAUAUAGCCGCGCCGCGGGAGUGGUGAAGGCCUUAGGGUUGUACAGCUCUUUCAGCUGAGAAGAUAAUGACGGUACCAGCAGAAGAAGCCCCGGCUAACUACGUG
rnacentral:rRNA from 1 species